rnacentral:rRNA from 1 species
CCUACGGGUGGCAGCAGUGGGGAAUAUUGCGCAAUGGGCGAAAGCCUGACGCAGCGACGCCGCGUGAGGGAUGAAGGUCUUCGGAUCGUAAACCUCUGUCAGCAGGGAAGAACGGUCACUGUGCUAAUCAGCAGUGAAUUGCCGGUACCUUCACAGGAAGCACCGGCUAACUCCGUGCCAGCAGCCGCGGUAAUACGGAGGGUGCGAGCGUUAAUCGGAGUUACUGGGCGUAAAGCGCUCGUAGGCGGUAUGUCAAGUCAAGGGUGAAAUCCCCGCGCUCAACGUGGGAACUGCCUUUGAAACUGGCAGACUGGAGUGUGUGAGAGGAUAGUGGAAUUCCAGGUGUAGGAGUGAAAUCCGUAGAUAUCUGGAGGAACAUCAGUGGCGAAGGCGACUAUCUGGCACAUAACUGACGCUGAGGAGCGAAAGCGUGGGUAGCAAACAGGAUUAGAUACCCUAGUAGUC